CCCUAGGUCAAGUAGGAUUACCUAUUGAGUUUAAGCAUAUGAAUAAGCAAAGGAAAAGAAACUUACCAAGAUUAUCCUAGUAAUAAUGAGCCAACCAAAAAAAGCCCAACUUGAGAAUCGAGAACCCUUGGAGUCCAAAUUGUAGUUUGGUGAAACAUCUUUAGUGAUGGACUAGGCCUAAGUCCCGUAGAAAAGGGGUGUUAGAGAGGGUGAGAGUCCUAUUGUGCUUGGAUCCUAUCGUACCAUGAGACUCUAUCUAUGAUUCAGGUUGUAAAUUUCAUCCAAGGCUGAAUACGAGUGAGAGACCAGUAGUGAAGAAAUACUAUGAGGGAAAGAUGAAAAGGAUUUUGAAAAAAGAGUCAAAGAGUGCUUGAAAUUAUUGAAAAGAAAAUGGAUGGGGGAUGAUGAUGCAACCCAGUUAGAUGUGGAAUGGUGAAAGCUAGUCUAUUGGUUGGCUUAGGGCAUGGACUAACAUGUGUUGUAGUGGCUGCCUAACCCUGGGCUUUUGAUAUGCCCAUUGAGACAUUGUCGCUAUGAUCAUGGAAUGCAACACAUAUCAUCUCAACAUGCCUCGACACCCGUGUGCUCCUAGCAUCAGCCUGCAAGCUCCCUAUCUAGCUUGUCUUGAAAUGUAGCCCAAGGAGUGUGACAUGUGUGCAAGUUAACAUGCUAGAUAACCUAUUAGGUGCAAGAAAGUUGGUUGGUAGGAUCUCUCACAGGUGUACCACCGACUGACCUUAAGCUUUUGAAAAAGGUUUGAGUGUGAGCUUACCUAUUGAGGUGAGCUAUGCUUGAGUGGGGCUAAGAUAUGGGAAACUCUAGUGGAAGCCCACAAUGAUAUUCAUGUGUAAAUCAUUCAUCUAAGUUGGGUAUAGGGGUGAAAGACUAAUUGAACCAUCUAGUAGCUAGUUCCCUCUAAAGUUUCUUUUAGGAUAGAUGGAGCCCUUAGCGAGUUCUAUUGGGUAAAGCCAUGGUUAGAGGCAUUGGGGCACAAUGCCCUCAACCUAUUCUCAAACAUAAAUAAGUAGGAUGAUGUAGCUACUUCAUUGAGAUGCUUCAUGGAAUCGAGACCUCCAAGCGGGCCAUUUUUGGUAAGUAGACCUGGCGAUAUAAAAUGAACUAAAAGUUGGGUUACAGUGGCUAAUUAUGUGCAAACCUAGAACCCUCAAAGGUGUUGGUCGAUUAAGAUAGCAAGACAGUGAUCAUAGAAGUCAAAAUCCUCUAUAAAGUGUGUAGUAACCCACCUAUCAAAUCGACUAGCCUCGAAUAUAAAUGGCACUUAAGCAUGUGACCUAUACUAGAUCAUCAAGGCAAGGGUGAAGCCCUACUGAGUAGGAGGAUAUGAUGGUUGCUACAAAACUCAGUACGUAAGCUUGUGCAAAGAGACUGUCAGUGCAGAUCUUGGUAGUAGUAGCAAAUAUUCAAAUGAGAACUUUGAAGGCCAAAGAAGGGAAAGGUUCCAUGUGAACAACACUUGCACAUAGGUUAAUCGAUUCUUAGAGAUGGGUCCAACAUAAGCUUUGAAAGGAAAUUGUGUUAAAAUUCCUAAACUGGGACACAAUGGCUAACAGCAGCAUUAGGGAUUCCAAAGACAUCGAUGAGGGCCUCAGGAAGAGUUAUCUUUCUAUUUAAUGACCUGUCCACCCUAGAAACAACUCAAUUAGAGGUAGGUUCCAUUAGCUAAAAGAGCAAUACAUGUCACAUUAUGUCCUAGUUGCCCUAGCAGCCCUUGAAAAUAUGGAGGAGUGAGUGCUAUUCAUGCCUAGUUGUACUCAUAAUUGCAUGGGUUUCCAAAUUGAACAAGCUCUAGUUGAUGAAAUAAUGUAGGUAAGGGAAGUUAGCAAAAUGGAUCUCUAACCUUGGGAAAAUGAUUGGCUCUGAGGGUUGGGCAUAGGGGUCAUAGUCUUGAACCUUUUGGCUACCAAUGCACUACUCAAGCUGCCCCUAUAGUGAGAGCAAUUUGAUGCGUGUAGGCUAGGGGAUGGACUAGGAAUGGCUCCCUUGGGGGCCUUCCCCAUGUGAUGAAUAGUCAACUCAAAACUGGUAUAGACUAGGGGAAUUCGAUUGUUUAAUUAAAACAAAGCAUUGUGAUGGUCCCUAGGGAUGCUCACUCAAUGUGAUUUUUGCCCAGUGCUCUAAAUGUCAAAGUGAAGAAUUUCAACCAAUCAUAGGUAAAUAGUGGGAAUAAUAUGACUUUUUUGAGGUAGCCAAAUGCCUUUGCAUCUAAUUAGUGAUACACAUGAGUGGAUUAACAAGAUUCCCAUUGUCCCUGUUGACUAUCCAGUAAAACCAUAACCAAGGGAAGAGGCUUAGCAUAACCAACAGGAAAGAAGACCUAAUUGAGCUUGACUCUAGUCUAACAUUGUGAAAUAACUUGAGAGUGUAGGAUAAGUGGGAGCCAUCUGAUGAAAUUGAAAUACCAUUUCUAUUAAUGUUAUUUUACUUAUUUCAUGAAUCGGAGGUAGGCACAACCCUUUUUUUUGGACAUAAGGCUAGCCUCGGUUGAUCAAUCCAGGCAGAAGACAUUGUCAGGUGGGGAGUUUACUGGGGCAACACAUCUAUUAAAUGAUAACAUAGGUGUUCUAUGAUAAUCUCAACGAGAACAAGAAUUUCAUGUGGAACAAAAGGGAAAAGGCUAAUUUCAUUCUAAUUUUCAGUACAAAUAUGAACCAUGAAAACAUGGCCUAUCGAUCUUUUAGACUUUCGAAAUUUGAAGCUAGUGGCAUUGGAAAAGUUACCAUAGGGAUAAUUAGCUUGUGGCAAUGAAGUAUUCAUUAGCGACAUUACUUUUUGAUUCUUCGAUGUCAGCUCUUGCCAUCAUUGUGAAGUAGAAUUCUCUAAGUGUUGGAUUGUUCACCCACCAAUAUGAAAUGUGAGCAAGGUUUAGACCAUUGUGAGAUACAUUAGUUUUACCUUACUGAUAGCAAUGUUGUAAUGGUAAUUCAACCUAGAAUGAGAAGAACUGUUGAUUCGCACAAUUGGUCAUCGUGCUUGGUUAAAAAGCUAGGGUUAAAAAGCUGUCAUGCGCUGGAUUAUGAUUGAAUGCCUCUAAGUUAAAAUCUAGGCUAGAAGUGAUGCAUGUGCCUAUCAUCCAAUUGCCGACCUACAACAUGGAUGCAUGGCCCUCAAGGGCAUGUGUCAUAGGUGCAGCCCCUGCUGCAGACAAGCUACGCAAGCCUCAUUG
rnacentral:rRNA from 1 species